UGACAGCACAUUUGUGUCCUAUUCAGGGAU
rnacentral:piRNA from 1 species